rnacentral:rRNA from 1 species
AGAGAUGCAUUGGGUUUAAAGCGUGCGCAGGCGGCUUUGUAAGACAGAGGUGAAAUCCCCGGGCUCAACCUGGGAACUGCCUUUGUGACUGCAAGGCUGGAGUGCGGCAGAGGGGGAUGGAAUUCCGCGUGUAGCAGUGAAAUGCGUAGAUAUGCGGAGAAACACCGAUGGCGAAGGCAAUCCCCUGGGCCUGCACUGACGCUCAUGCACGAAAGCGUGGGGAGCAAACA